rnacentral:tRNA from 2 species
GCCCGGAUAGCUCAGUUGGUAGAGCAGUGGAUUGAAGAUCCUCGUGUCACCAGUUCGACUCUGGUUCUGGGCA